rnacentral:rRNA from 1 species
CUGACCAGCACCCCGACGUGGUCGGGACGUUUAUUGGCCUAAAGGCAUCCGUAGCCGGUUCUACAAGUCUUCCGUUAAAUCCACCUGCUUAACAGAUGGGCUGCGGAAGAUACUAUGGAGCUAGGAGGCGGGAGAGGCAAGCGGUACUCGAUGGGUAGGGGUAAAAAUCCGUUGAUCCAUUGAAGACCACCAGUGGCGAAGGCGGCUUGCCAGAACGCGCUCGGACGGUGAGGGAUGAAAGCUGGGGGGAGCAAACCGG